rnacentral:rRNA from 1 species
GAUGAACGCUGGCGGCGUGCUUAAUACAUGCAAGUCGAACGAAGCACCUUGGACAGAAUCCUUCGGGAGGAAGACCAUUGUGACUGAGUGGCGGACGGGUGAGUAACGCGUGGGUAACCUGCCUUGUACAGGGGGAUAACAGUUGGAAACGACUGCUAAUACCGCAUAAGCGCACAGUACCGCAUGGUACGGUGUGAAAAACUCCGGUGGUACAAGAUGGACCCGCGUCUGAUUAGCUGGUUGGUGAGGUAACGGCCCACCAAGGCGACGAUCAGUAGCCGACUUGAGAGAGUGAUCGGCCACAUUGGGACUGAGACACGGCCCAAACUCCUACGGGAGGCAGCAGUAGGGAAUAUUGCACAAUGGGGGAAACCCUGAUGCAGCGACGCCGCGUGAAGGAAGAAGUAUUUCGGUAUGUAAACUUCUAUCAGCAAGGAAGAAAAUGACGGUACUUGACUAAGAAGCCCCGG